UAAUAAGACUGGGUUUUCCAGCAAGAUUUUACAAAUUUGUAUCUUCAUAUUGAGCUUGGUUCUCCCAUCUAAUCUAAUUUCUCAAGAAAAAGGAAAUUAAAAAAAAAAACUCGAAUAUGAUCAAAUGGAUUCUUCUGUAUAUGAUAAGACCCCAGAAAAAAAGCUUACACAUUUUUUCCUAUUUAUAGUUCACCCAAGAAUGCAUGCUUGCUUG
rnacentral:lncRNA from 1 species